rnacentral:lncRNA from 1 species
UGGGUGAAUAGGCAAUUUGCAAAACGUGCUCCAAAAUCGCGAUAAUUUGACGAUGUUAGCGCGACUUAUCGCGAUCUCUGCUACUUGGGUAGUUGCUGCAGCUACGCAGCGAUGUAUUGUUUGGUUCAGAAGCUUUUAGCUCGAUGUAAUUUUAGGUUACAAUCGUAAGAUUACUUACAACUGUCAGCUCUUAACGUUCAGAAACAAGGUAAUCUUUCAAAAUAAUAUCAACACACUAAGAUUCAUACUUCCAGGUGCCUGAUUGUGACUUACGAUCGCUCAUAUAAAUGCUCGGUAUUCUUGACGAGAAGCACCAAUUGCCCUUUCACCUUCUUUCACUAUUAAGUCAAGAAAGCAGAGUAAAGAACACAUAAUGAAAUUCAUCGUAGCUCUCGUCGCCGCUUUGGCUUGUGCUAACAUGGCCGCCGGUCAUUUUCUGCACAAGGAGAAAUUCGGAUGCAAGGAGCCGAUCAUAUGUGCUCAGCCUGCCCCUUGCGUCGUCGAGAAGCCUGUUCCAGUCCCUGUUCUGGUGAAAUCACCACCAAAAAUCAUCGAGAAACCUGUCAAAGUCCCUGUGGCCGUACCAGUGCCAGUGCCUUGUGAAAAACCCUGCGAAACACCCUGUGAAACACCCUGUUACUCCACCCCAGUUGAGUCUUGUUGCUCAACCCCAGUUGAGUCCAGUUGCUCAACCCCUCCCUGUUGGGUCCAGUUGUUGCAGUCUGCUGAUUCAAGUUGGUCGACUCCCGUUACCUUCAGCUACUCCUAUUCUAAUCAAACACCGGUCACAUAUUGAUGGUGAAACUGCAGAAAUACGUAUGUCGGUCUCCGGCGUUGCAAACUUCCUGUCAUUCUUGAAUCGCAUAUGGCAAACAGGCACUAGCCUGGUUACACUGUUUUCAAAAUCGUGCAACCUCUUUUUCCUUUUAAAAAUACUAAAUUUAAAAACGGUAUAAAAAUUUACCUGAUUAUUUCCCUUUAAAAUGAACAAUUUUUUUGUGGGAUGCAAAAACUAUUCAAUAUUCUGUGAAAUUUUUUUGAGAUAAUUAUGAAGAGGCAACAUUUUAACAACACUGUAAUUGCGCUGGUUCCAUUUUGCUAAAUGCGAUCCACUAUGUUUUCUCUUUGGAAAACUACCGAGCGUCAUUUUUUUUAAGGUUUUGUGAUCUUUAUUCCCCGUGUUAUGAAUGUGAAAAUUUAAAUCCAUAAUGUUUGUUCGGUCUCCAUUCAAAAAAUGAAGUAUAAGCGGAGAUUUUGAAACAAUGCAACCGAACUACGCAUUUUUGCAGUUUCCCCGUCGAUUUAGCUCUUCGUCCUACUACUCAUUACCUGUGACUUACAGUUCUUUUUGCGUGCUCCUCCACGUGUCGGUAAUGUUCUCGUGUUCAUCAUCCCCUUGCUACUGAAUACUUUCAACUUUGAAAAUGAUGGAAAUAUGACUAACAUUGAAUUGAAUAAAUGAUACGUAUUUUCAAAUCACAUUAGCUAUUGUUCUUCACUUCCUCAAACAAAACAUACUUAUUUUAUGACGAAUGUACUAUACUUACACCCACUUUCUAUAUUUUGUCGAAGAGGAACUGAUCAUGCUUCUAAAUAAUUUGCAUAUACAGCCAUAUUCUGAGGGCUGUUCUCUACUCUGAUCAUGAUUAUGAUUAACAUUAGGAAAAGUGUAUCAUGUUCAGUGUUCGAAACCCACCUUUGAGUUUUAGGAGCCAAGUCCCAUCAAACCCAAUUUUUAGGCGCC